AUGGACCUCCGGCUCUACAACAACAACCUCGCCGAUGCCAUCCCCCACCAGCUCAGCAGGCUCCCCAGGGUCAAGCAUUUCGACCUGGGCUCCAAUUUCCUCACCGGCCCGGACUACAGCAGGUUCUCGCCGAUGCCCACCGUCAACUUCAUGUCGCUCUACCUCAACUACCUCAUCGACAGCUUCCCGGAAUUCGUGCUCAAGAGCGGCAACGUCACCUACCUCGACCUGUCGGAGAACAAUUUCUCAAGGCCAUUACCGGACACGCUGCUGAAGAAGCUCCCCAGCCUCAUGUACCUCAACUUGUCCGCCAAUGCAUUCUCCGGUCGGAUACCAGUGUCGCUGUCGAUGCUGAGGAAGCUCCGGGACCUGCAGAUUGCGGCCAACAAUCUGACUAGAGGCAUCCCAGAUUUCCUUGGGUCGAUGUCCCAGCUAAGAGUUCUUGUACUCGGCGGCAACCUGUUUGGCGGUCCGAUCCCGCCGGUUCUUGGCAGGCUCCAAAUGCUACAUCGCCUUGACCUGAGGAGUGCCAUGUUGGUUUCCACAAUUCCACCGCAGCUGGGCAACCUUGGUAAUCUCAGUUUUGCGGACCUGUCCACGAACCAGCUCACCGGUGUACUACCACCAGAGUUGGCCGGGAUGCACAAAAUGCAGAAGUUUGGCAUAUCGUCGAACAAACUCGCUGGUCAGAUCCCACCCGCUCUGUUCACGAGCUGGCCAGACCUCAUAGGGUUCCAAGCGCAGAGUAACUCGUUCACUGGGAAUAUUUCGAUGGAAAUCGGCAAGGCAACCAAACUACAAGUCUUGCAUCUCUUCAGCAACAACCUUACCGGCUUUAUCUGGUAG
rnacentral:rRNA from 1 species